rnacentral:rRNA from 1 species
AUUGAACGCUGGCGGCAGGCUUAACACAUGCAAGUCGAGCGGAGAUGAGGUGCUUGCACCUUAUCUUAGCGGCGGACGGGUGAGUAAUGCUUAGGAAUCUGCCUAUUAGUGGGGGACAACAUUCCGAAAGGAAUGCUAAUACCGCAUACGCCCUACGGGGGAAAGCAGGGGAUCUUCGGACCUUGCGCUAAUAGAUGAGCCUAAGUCGGAUUAGCUAGUUGGUGGGGUAAAGGCCUACCAAGGCGACGAUCUGUAGCGGGUCUGGGAGGAUGAUCAGCCAAACUGGGACUGAGACACGGCCCAGACGCCUACGGGAGGCAGCAGUGGGGAAUAUUGGACAAUGGGCGGAAGCCUGAUCCAGCCAUGCCGCGUGUGUGAAGAAGGCCUUUUGGUUGUAAAGCACUUUAAGCGAGGAGGAGGCUACCUGGAUUAAUACUCUAGGAUAGUGGACGUUACUCGCAGAAUAAGCACCGGCUAACUCUGUGCCAGCAGCCGCAGUAAUAC